rnacentral:sRNA from 1 species
CAAUUUUAUUAAUUUAAAAACCCAUGUACUCCCAGUGGGAGUAGAAAUUUUUAGUAAUAAUUUUUGCUAAAUUUUUUUAAUCAAUAAUGUGUUUUCGUUUUUAAUCUUUUUCAAGCCACCAUUUAUUUUGCCAUGAAGCGCCCUCCUGCUAAUUUAUGAUUCUUUGGUGUUCAAUAAAUUAUCGAUUCUGUCUUUUUGUGAUUCAGACCCCAGCAUUUUUUUUAAUUUUAUGAUACAUUCCCCACCUACUGCCUCCACAACAAAAAAAUAAGUUUUGGAUGCCUUUGACAAGUUACUCCACAUCUUUUACGCGUUUGAUGUUCCAUUCUCUGAAGAAUCUGUCCUGUCCUGGUCCAAUGAUUUCCAUGUAUUUUCUGACCACUUGCCACUGUGCUGGCAAGUUUUACCUGCCAGGCUUAUCUGAAAAAAAGGUAUGUUUGGCCCGAAAAAGAAGCAAAAUAUCUAAUGUCUAACUGAAAAAGAGGAAGCACCACACCUACUUGUUGGAAUGCCUUAUCGCCUGGUCUUAUGGCGAGGAAUAGCCCUCCCUCUGCAGCAAGAGCUCCACCAUAGCAACUUUCCAAUCUGUUGCCCCGUACCUUCCUUUUCAUCUUAUCCCCUUCUAUUGUAAGAUCCACAUGAUCUUAAUCAAAGACAUCAUCUUCAUUAAACGUUAUAAACAAGA